rnacentral:rRNA from 1 species
CCCUUCAGAGGGGGACAACAGUUGGAAACGACUGCUAAUACCGCAUACGAUCCAAUCUCGGCAUCGAGGAUGGAUGAAAGGUGGCCUCUAUUUAUAAGCUGUCACUGAAGGAGGGGAUUGCGUCUGAUUAGCUAGUUGGAGGGGUAACGGCCCACCAAGGCGAUGAUCAGUAGCCGGUCUGAGAGGAUGAACGGCCACAUUGGGACUGAGACACGGCCCAG